GCAGCUGUGGCCUACUGGUUAGUGCUUUGGACUUGAAACCGGAAGAUUGCAGGUUCGAACCCCGAUCAGUAGGCA
rnacentral:tRNA from 1 species